CUCGGUUCCGGCAGAGGGGAUGGUGCAGCGGUCUUCCGGCCAGGUUACCUGGGGUGAUUUCCACCAUGACUCUAAAGGUGGGAGGAUAAAUCUGGUCCCUGUUACUUCUUCUUGGCCAUUUAAACCUCAUACCAUGCUUACAGCCCCCCGGUACAUAGUUGCGUAUUCUUCAUUGUGGGUCCUUCCAGUUGUGGCAU